GACGAACGCUGGCGGCGUGCCUAAUACAUGCAAGUAGAACGCUGAAGAGAGGAGCUUGCUCUUCUUGGAUGAGUUGCGAACGGGUGAGUAACGCGUAGGUAACCUGCCUUGUAGCGGGGGAUAACUAUUGGAAACGAUAGCUAAUACCGCAUAACAAUGGAUGACACAUGUCAUUUAUUUGAAAGGGGCAAUUGCUCCACUACAAGAUGGACCUGCGUUGUAUUAGCUAGUAGGUGAGGUAAUGGCUCACCUAGGCGACGAUACAUAGCCGACCUGAGAGGGUGAUCGGCCACACUGGAACUGAGACACGGCCCAGACUCCUACGGGAGGCAGCAGUAGGGAAUCUUCGGCAAUGGGGGCAACCCUGACCGAGCAACGCCGCGUGAGUGAAGAAGGUGUUCGGAUCGUAAAGCUCUGUUGUAAGUCAAGAACGGGUGUGAGAGUGGAAAGUUCACACUGUGACGGUAGCGUACCAGAAAGGGACGGCUAACUACGU
rnacentral:rRNA from 1 species